CUUUAGAAAGCAGUAGACAUGCUUUUGGAUAAUGAAGAUAAAAUUUCCAUUGACAGAGUUGUUGAAGAGUUAGAGAACAGGCCUGAGCUACAGCAUGUGUAUUUGCACAAGCUCUUCAAGAGAGACCACCAUAAAGGCCAGCGGUAUCACGAGAAGCAGAUCAGUCUCUACGCUGAGUACGAUCGCCCCAAUUUACUGCCCUUUCUCAGGGACAGCACGCACUGCCCGCUCG